UUGUAUUAAACUAAACAGAUAAAAAUGAAUGGAUGAUAACUUCUCAGCUAUAUCAAAGUGAACAGUUAUGUGUAGUUUUUAAAUUUCUUUAGUUUUCAUCCUUACUAGAAGAUGAAUAGCUUUUAUGAUUUUGUUUUUAGCACCCAUGUGCUCUUUUAAUAUAAUUUUUUGCUUAUAAAAAAAAUUAGAUACGAGGGGCCAACAAGUUUGUUUAUUCCCAUGUAAUCAUGAACAAGGCACACUUUAGAAUUUUCUUCAUUUUGCUUAUUUUCUUUCCUUCUUGUAUGUGAUCUUAUGAAUGAUAUAACAACAUAUAUAUAAUCAUUAAUGUAUUUACACAUAUUAACGUCAAAAUUAUCUAUUUAGUGUUAUGUUUAUGGAAUAUAUGCAAGAUAUAUAUUCCAUGAGCCAAACAUGAGUUCUAUAGUAAAUUCAUUGAAACUAGUAUGGUAACCGAAGGAACAUAUAACUCCAAAAUGAAUUUAAAGGCCAAGUUUUCAACAACAACAAAACAAUUUCAUAGACCCUUCAAUUUCUAUAUAUAGAUAACACAAUGUUAGUUUGUUUAUUAACGUGUUAAUAGAUCUAUAAGUGAAGAUUGUAGUGAGUAUAAAUCAUGAACAAGUUUUUAUUCAUUUGUCUUAUUCUCCUUGCUACUGAGAUGGUGGUACAAAUCGAUGGAACACGUUGUGAAUCAGAGAGUUUUCAGUUUCAAGGAAUUUGUUUUAGUGAUCGCAGUUGUGCUAGAGUUUGUAAUAAUGAAGGUUAUAUUGCAGGUGGUAAAUGCAGAGGAUUCUUCAGUCAUUGCUAUUGCAAAAGGAGUUGUUAACAUAAGUUGGCGCUAGCUCUUGUGUUUUUUGUCGUCUUUAUAAUAAUUUGUAUUUUGUGUUAUCUUUGCUUUGCUUGCUUAGGUGCACUAGGCCGACUUGGACCUAGGAAAUACUAUUGUUGUUAUUGUUUGUUGAUGUUCAUCUGAAAAGUAGAAAAUUUUUGCACCAUUUUCA